UAACUAAAGUCUAUCAACCAUCUUAGCUGUACUUAAUCGUAUAUAUGAAAGUUGGCCAACUCUCUUCAUAUGGAUGACACAUCAUCACACAAGAAAAUGACAUGUGUCCUUUAACAUUAAUUAAAUUAAAAAUCAGCAAAAUUAAUUGAGAGAAAAUCAAAAGUUUCAUAUUCUGUUAAAUCGUCCAUUAAUUCAUUUCUUUAACUAUUU
rnacentral:sRNA from 1 species